UAACAGAGGAAGAAGACGGUGCUAGCAUUGGAUCAUGAUAAUCUCUGGAAGGAGCUACAGCAUUCCUGUGCAUCUCGGCCUGUGGAGUGCAGACCCCGGCACACACCACCUCUCCCGGCACACACCACCUCUCCCGGCACACACCAGCUCUCCUGUGCACCUCGGCCUGUGGAGUGCAGGCCCCAGGACAUGUCACUUGCACAUUAAAUGCUGAUCAUUCUUUUUACUACUAAGAAUAAUGAAUGCCUCUUUGGCAAACUGAUACCUUCAGCCUGGUAUAGCAGGGACAGCUGUUGCCCUAUUUGAAGCCCAAGAAAUCAGCACUGUGAGCCAGUUCCUGCAAGACGGAAGACUUCUGGCAAAAAUGGCAAUGUUCUCUCACAAAAAUAGCGAGCCAUCAUCUGUAUGGAGUGGGAAAGGCUAAGGACUGUUGCCAACAUGAGAUUUUAUAGUGCUGAUGGGAAGUCAAUACUAGAUGGGACAGAAAUCUCAAUAAAAGAUACUUUGGAUUUAAGGAAGAUGUAGAACAUGCUGGGUUCUAAAUAUUUAAAACAAUUGCUUAGGCAAGCUGUGACACUUUCCUCAAAAACAUCCAAACAUUUUUUUGUUAAAUAUACAACUGCAAAAUGUUGUAUGCUAAAAUAAAAUCAUAUUUUAAAACAA